GGCCGGAACGAGGCCGGAGCCCCUGCGGGCAGCGCGGGGUGCGGGCCCAGGCCGGCCGGGCCCUCCCGACCUCCGGCAGGUGCACCGGGCGGCACCCAGCCGCGCGCUCCGGGGACCCCGGACCCGGACUGCGCGCCGGGCCCCGGAGAUUCUGGCCGGUUGGGGCACAAAGGGGCCCCAGGAUGCGUCUCUCCGAGGCAGCACGUCUCCAGCCUGCGGCCAGAGCGCAGAGGACCACGCGUCGUAAAACUCGGGCAGAGACCCGCGUGGGCGGGGACGUGGGAGUGGUGCGUUCGCGAGCGUUCCCGCCGCCGGCGAGGGGCCGCCAGGGUCGGCCACGUCCACGUGGCGGAACUUAAUGUUCCUCCCCUUCGGUUUGCUCGCCAAGAGCACAGUAUCCGAGCGGGGAGGGCGGAGCAGUCAUCGGGGUGAGCAAUUCAAAAAAAAAAAGGACGGACGGCCCAGCGCAGGUGUCUCCCGACGACACAGGCUUUGAUCCGCCUAUCAUGAACUUCGACGUACAUUUUGAAGCGUGAACUUUUCCCCAACACGUGUAAUUGAGUCAGGAAGACUUAAUGAAGAGUGGACAUGCCCUCUGGACCCGCCCUGCCGCCCACGUCGGAUAUGAUGGUUUCAUUAUUGGCCU